UCUUUUCUAAAAGAAAUGCAUGUUUGUGCUUAGUUCCUCUCUCCUCUAGCCUUAAGAGCAAGAGGCAUCAGAUCAAGAGCGACCCUACACCGUUCGGCUAUGAAGACACCAUGCGAGGUGCACUUCCUGCUGAGAGCAAAAGUAAAGGUACUGCCGGUACCAAGCCCGCUGUGCCGAGGUCUGCGUCUCAACCAGGAUGGAAUCAACGGCGUCUGCCAUCAAUGGACGCUGAGGAUUUUGAGACCAUUCCAUCAAGUGCUGAAGAACUCUCCAUUUCCUCAGAUGGAGAGGAUGAAGGACAUAACAAAAACGUAUGUGUCUGGGUCUACCAUGUCUUUAUCCACCUUCUG
rnacentral:lncRNA from 1 species